CUAGACACAGCCUCCUAUUGAGCUCACUUGAGUGGAGACACUCAAGAGAGCAGGAUGCUCUGCUGUUGUCUCCCGACUUGUCGAGGCUGUGGCUUCAGGAAAGCCAAGAAACAGAGCCUUUUCAGUUGCUACACACAUUGGCUUGGCCCUCACCUGCACCGCCUCUGGCCAUUUGGCAGGAGGAGCCCUCAGAGCUGCACGCAGGAGGUGGUGGAAGAGCUGGCGGAUGGCUUCGGGUACUCCAUCUCCCUGGACAGGGACCAGCUGCACCGCACCAUCAUCAAUAACCAGGGCUGCUCUGAGUGCUAUCUAUUUCCUGCUGGGAACCUGGCUGGGCCAAGGGCAGGAUUGCAGGGAGCCCCUGUGGUUUCCCUUUUGGACCCUGCAGCUGGCCACUCUGCACGUCAGCUUUGGUGGCUCCCACGUGGAGGGCCAUGCCUACGUUCUGCCAGGCCACCUGGAGCAUCU
rnacentral:lncRNA from 1 species